AAAAAUAUACAGUACAGUGAAUUUUUAAGAAGAAAAAAAACAACUUGUAAAAAAAAAUGUGCCCCACCCAAAAAAGAUCAAACUGGGCCACGUUGGUGAACCAUAUUACAAAAUGAAUUUUAAACUUUCUAUGUAUUUUAGGUUCUGGGAAUUGUUACUGGUGUGCUUUUACAAGAUCAGGAAUUGAAAGGUGUAGAGUUCCAACAAUUGCCUUAUCAUAGAAUUUUUAUAAUGCUGUUCUUAGAGCUUAGUGCCCCGGAGGCAGUACUAGAAGCAAUAAGUGCACAAAUUCUUACAGCCUUCUGCAAUACUCUUUAUUACCUAAGACCGCAAAAGGCACCUGGGUUUGCCUAUGCUUGGUUAGAGCUAGUUUCUCAUCGAGUAUUUCUUGGUCGAGUUCUGGCUGCUUCUUCAGCU